GGGGUUGUGGCUCAAUGGUACAGCGCUUGCCUAACAUGCAUGAGGCACUGGGUUCAAUCCCCGGCGCCA
rnacentral:tRNA from 1 species